rnacentral:lncRNA from 1 species
GUUUUUUCCCUCUCAAUUUGGACUUGAUUGGGCCCUGCAGGAUUUAACCCCACACCCCUUACCCACCCACCCCAUCAUUUCAACGCCCCAUUGGCCAAUUAUGUUUACGGAUCCCGCUGAAGGACAUUAGAGAUGGCCAAUGCUCAGUCACCUCCGAAUUAACAUACCGGUUGCUAGGAGACCUGAGUGGGGAAGCGUUUCGGUGACGUCAAUCUUCAUUGAUAGUCCAUUAUCGGCGAUAAUGACUUCCUCUCCGCCAACAGGGCUCGAUAAGGAGUCUGUUUCAGCUCGGCAUGGAGAGCAUGGAGGAGAAAGGAGGCAGAACCGGAGCGGCUCACCGCCCUCACGCUGUUGGCGAGUUUGCAGGUUUUCAGUGCCUUGGAAUUAUUCUCAAGUCAGGCUUCAUGCAUAAAACAGCCACAAGUUUUGACGUUGUGGGUGACCAAAUUAUCCACUCACCCCUGAAAAAGAAAGACAAACAACUACGCUCUCUCAGACUCUGGCUGCUGAUGGCAAGAAGCAUAGUCGAACCGGCGUCUAAAACAGCGAUCCUCAGAUAACAGAAUAACAGUGCAUUAGUGUCCUCUGAAGCACUCAGAGCCCUCUCA